rnacentral:rRNA from 1 species
AGGACGAACGCUAGCGGCGUGUUUGAAACAUGCAAGUCGAACGGGGGGAGCAAUCCCUUAGUGGCGAACGGGUGCGUAACACGUAAAGAACCUGUCCUUUAGUGGGGGAUAGCCCUGGGAAACUGGGGGUAAUACCGCAUGAGCUAUUUUUCUCGCAUGGGAAAGAUAGGAAAGGCCUUCGGGCCACUGAAGGAGGGCUUUGCGGCCUAUCAGGUAGUUGGUGGGGUAAAGGCCUACCAAGCCGAAGACGGGUAGCUGGUCUGAGAGGACGAUCAGCCACACUGGGACUGCGACACGGCCCAGACUCCUACGGGAGGCAGCAGUGGGGAAUAUUGGGCAAUGGGCGGAAGCCUGACCCAGCCACGCCGCGUGAGUGAUGAAGGCCUUCGGGUCGUAAAGCUCUGUGGGGAGGACGAAUAAGCCUGGUGAUAAUAACACCGGGCCCUGACGGUACCUCCUUAGCAAGCACCGGCUAACCCUGUGCUAGCAGCCGC